CUUUUGACUGCCAGGCGUAUCCGUCUGUAGAAACAUGGAAGGACUCGCAGACAAGGCGGGCAAAUUUAGCCGGCCAUCCGUCCCACUGUCGAAUGGAUUUUUUGUCAAAUUUAAAUUCGAAAUAGUCGAGCAAUCGUCUAAGGUGCUGCUCAGAGUCGCAAAGGACAUUGCCAAAUCGCUAUAAGUUGAUAUAUUUUGUAUUUUUCUACAAUAUUUUACAAAAAACUAAGCUAACUAUUAUUCUGUAUCGACUAUAAAUUCU